rnacentral:rRNA from 1 species
GAAACCCAGUGUGACUCGUCACACUAUCAUUAACUGAAUCCAUAGGUUAAUGAGGCGAACCGGGGGAACUGAAACAUCUAAGUACCCCGAGGAAAAGAAAUCAACCGAGAUUCCCCCAGUAGCGGCGAGCGAACGGGGAGGAGCCCAGAGCCUGAAUCAGCAUGUGUGUUAGUGGAAGCGUCUGGAAAGGCGCGCGAUACAGGGUGACAGCCCCGUACACAAAAGCGCAUGUGCUGUGAGCUCGAUGAGUAGGGCGGGACACGUGGUAUCCUGUCUGAAUAUGGGGGGACCAUCCUCCAAGGCUAAAUACUCCUGACUGACCGAUAGUGAACCAGUACCGUGAGGGAAAGGCGAAAAGAACCCCGGCGAGGGGAGUGAAAAAGAACCUGAAACCGUGUACGUACAAGCAGUGGGAGCACCCUUUGGGUGUGACUGCGUACCUUUUGUAUAAUGGGUCAGCGACUUAUAUUCUGUAGCAAGGUUAACCGAAUAGGGGAGCCGGAGGGAAACCGAGUCUUAACCGGGCGUUAAGUUGCAGGGUAUAGACCCGAAACCCGGUGAUCUAGCCAUGGGCAGGUUGAAGGUUGGGUAACACUAACUGGAGGACCGAACCGACUAAUGUUGAAAAAUUAGCGGAUGACCUGUGGCUGGGGGUGAAAGGCCAAUCAAACCGGGAGAUAGCUGGUUCUCCCCGAAAGCUAUUUAGGUAGCGCCUCGUGAAUUCAUCUCCGGGGGUAGAGCACUGUUUCGGCUAGGGGGCCAUCCCGGCUUACCAACCCGAUGCAAACUGCGAAUACCGGAGAAUGUUAUCACGGGAGACACACGGCGGGUGCUAACGUCCGUCGUGAAGAGGGAAACAACCCAGACCGCCAGCUAAGGUCCCAAAGUCAUGGUUAAGUGGGAAACGAUGUGGGAAGGCCCAGACAGCCAGGAUGUUGGCUUAGAAGCAGCCAUCAUUUAAAGAAAGCGUAAUAGCUCACUGGUCGAGUCGGCCUGCGCGGAAGAUGUAACGGGGCUAAACCAUGCACCGAAGCUGCGGCAGCGACACUGUGUGUUGUUGGGUA